rnacentral:misc_RNA from 1 species
CUCCAGUCUCCCCAUUAUCAUCCUCUUCUACAUCAUCCUCUCCUUGAUCAUGGCCAUCAAUCUCCCCUUCCGUGCUUGCUAACCUUCCUGUACUCUCUGGCUCUGCAAAUUCUGCCUCAUCAUUGUCUACUUCCUCUUCCUCAUCCUCGUCGUCAUCGUCAUCAUCUUCAUCAUCAUCGUCAUCAUCUUCAACCCCAUCCUCCUCAUCAUCGCUAUCCUCAAUCUCAUGGACCUCCACCACAUCAUCAUCAUCUCCCUCCUCCUCAUCAAUUUCCUCUCCAGAUUCAUUUUCCUCCUCAUCGCCCUCCUCCUCAUCAUCUCCAACAUCUCUUCCCUCCACAGCGGCUACUCUAAAACCAUUCUGGUUUGGCCCAUUAAUCCGCCU